UCUCUCUGAAUCUGCGAACGGCUCCGCAAACCAGUUGUAAACUAUAGCAAGCAUGCCUGUAUUCCCUUCACGGGGGGUGCGGGUAAGAUGGAUAACCCUGGUAAUUCUGAGGCUAAUACGAGAACGUACUCCCCUGCUAACCGGGCAACUGGAAGGUAGGGAGGUGUGUGAUCAAAGCACGAGGAAUCUGCUGGGAAUGGACACACGCCUGGACCGCGCCAAAAACAGAUGAGGCUUCCUUUCGGGGUCGCCUUGCCUGAGCGGCUCUUGCUUUGUGCUUCUGACCUAUCAACUAGAUGGCAGCGUAACGGACAUGCUAUGGUUACAACGGGUACAGAGGAUAAGGGUUCGAUCCUGGAGAGUGGGCCUGAGAGAUU
rnacentral:rRNA from 1 species